AGGGAUGAGUCUCCCCUCCUCACCGAGUGGGGCAGGGAGAGGCGCAGAAAGGUACCUCCCUCUCACUGGGACUGUUCUUUCCAGAGGCUCUGCACUGGCAAACUUGAUUUCCCAGUACACCCUGGCUCUACUCCUCUUUUUCUACAUCCUCGGGAAAAAACUGCAUCAAGCUACAUGGGGAGGCUGGUCCCUCGAGUGCCUGCAGGACUGGGCCUCCUUCCUCCACCUUGCCGUCCCCAGCAUGCUCAUGCUGUGCAUGGAGUGGUGGGCCUAUGAGGUCGGGAGCUUCCUCAGUGGCAUCCUUGGCAUGGUGGAGCUGGGCGCUCAGUCCAUCGUGUAUGAACUGGCCAUCAUUGUGUACAUGGUCCCUGCAGGCUUCAGUGUGGCUGCCAGUGUCCGGGUAGGAAACGCUCUGGGUGCUGGAGACAUGGAGCAGGCACGGAAGUCCUCUACCGUUUCCCUGCUGAUUACAGUGCUCUUUGCUGUAGCCUUCAGUGUCCUGCUGUUAAGCUGUAAGGAUCACGUGGGGUACAUUUUUACUACCGACCGAGAUAUCAUUAAUCUGGUGGCUCAGGUGGUUCCAAUUUAUGCUGUUUCCCACCUCUUUGAAGCUCUUGCUUGCACGAGCGGUGGCGUUCUGAGGGGGAGUGGAAAUCAGAAGGUUGGAGCCAUUGUGAAUACCAUUGGGUACUAUGUGGUUGGCCUCCCCAUCGGGAUCGCGCUGAUGUUUGCAACCAAACUUGGAGUGAUGGGGUGCCCUGAAAACCUUGAAGGAAUUUUAACGAACGAUGUUGGAAAGACAGGCGAGACUCAGUCGGAUCAGCAGAUGCGCCAAGAAGAACCUUUGCCGGAACAUCCACAGGACAGCGCUAAGUUGUCCAGGAAACAGCUGGUGCUGCGGCGAGGGCUUCUGCUCCUGGGGGUCUUCUUAAUCUUGCUGGUGGGGAUUUUAGUGAGAUUCUAUGUCAGAAUUCAGUGACGUGGCAGGAAAGAAAGUCAGGUCAAGUGAUGCUUUUGAGCUUACACACAAUUCACAGGCCCACCAGUGACAAUUUACUUUGAGUUA
rnacentral:sRNA from 1 species